rnacentral:rRNA from 1 species
UACGUAGGGUGCGAGCGUUGUCCGGAAUUAUUGGGCGUAAAGAGCUGCGUAGGCGGUGUGUCGCGUCGGCCGUGAAAACCUGCAGCUUAACUGUGGGCUUGCGGUCGAUACGGGCAUCACUGGAGUUCGGCAGGGGAGACUGGAAUUCCGUGGUGAUAGCGGUGAAAUGCGCAGAUAUCAGGAGGAACACCGGUGGCGAAGGCGGGUCUCUGGGC